rnacentral:rRNA from 1 species
ACGGAAGGCAGCAGUGGGGAAUAUUGCACAAUGGGCGAAAGCCUGAUGCAGCGACGCCGCGUGAGUGAAGAAGUAUCUCGGUAUGUAAAGCUCUAUCAGCAGGGAAGAAAAUGACGGUACCUGACUAAGAAGCCCCGGCUAACUACGUGCCAGCAGCCGCGGUAAUACGUAGGGGGCAAGCGUUAUCCGGAUUUACUGGGUGUAAAGGGAGCGUAGACGGUUUGGCAAGUCUGAAGUGAAAUGCGGGAGCUCAACUCCUGAACUGCUUUGGAAACUGUCGAACUAGAGUGCAGGAGAGGUAAGUGGAAUUCCUAGUGUAGCGGUGAAAUGCGUAGAUAUUAGGAGGAACACCAGUGGCGAAGGCGGCUUACUGGACUGUAACUGACGUUGAGGCUCGAAAGCGUGGGGAGCAAACAGGAUUAGAUACCCUGGUA